rfam:Aedes albopictus isolate Foshan contig27454, whole genome shotgun sequence.
UGGCCUAGUGGUUAAGGCUAUGGAUUGCCAAUCCGGAGACGGCGGGCUCGAUUCCCGU